AAAAUCGGAAAAAAUCAGAAAAAAUCAGAAAAACUUAGAAAAAAAUUGGGAAUGAAUCUGGGAUGGUGUAGCUUCAGUUGCGUAUCAUAAAACGCUUCCAGGGCCGGAGGAAGAUGCGGUAACCCCCCAGACCAGGGAAAAUUGAGGGAAUUCAUUUGAUUUAUUAUCUCUAAGGCGUGACGUACGGAAACAUGUAUAAAGUGCAGCGUAGUCUACUCUCCCCCUUGAAUCUUCAAACAUUUCUCAAAAGGUGGUAUAGAACACAAGGAGUGCAUGUUCGGAUUGCCCCGAGCCCAACAGGUUACCUGCAUCUCAGAGGUCUAGCGGUAAGCUUCAAGAGGAUCCAUUCGGGCUGAGUCAUCCUGCACAAAGAACUGACAAAGGGUGGACCUGUAGGCUUCCACUUUCGAUCGAAAGUCUGCAAUUAUACAAGUAUCUAGUCAAACAUCCCUUCCGCCAGUAUUAAUCCAUCUGUUAAAAUCUCUGAUAUGUCUAUCCUUUGUAUCAUGCAGGUCCAAAAAGUUUAAUUUUCAAGACCUACAUCCUAGAGCUUAGAAUUAUUCUUUCUUUUUGUAUGGAAGAAUUAUUAAAUGCUUAAAUACACAGGCAGACAUAUGCCAAGUCCUGCAAGGAACCAGUUGCUCUCCUUAUCAUACUAGGAUAUUAGUAGAUUUGGUGUGUAGGGAUGUGAUUGAUAGUGAAUCAACAAUUUUAUAUUCAAAGUAGUUCAGUAUAUUGAUAAGUCAAAGGUCCAAAAUACAUGUUCGAACAUCGUGAUACAUAUUAUGGAUUCAUUCUCACAAAUAUAUUCAUACCUUUAUGAUCACAAUGUAACUCACUACAGUGUACACAAUACUCUAAUUCUAAGUCACAUUAGAUUAAUAAUUUGAUAGUUAUAAAGAAAAUAUGUGCACAGUCCAAUACAUGCAUAUACGAUUAUAAGAACUCAAUUAGAGCAAUUAUCCACUCUGAAGGUAUGAUGAUUGGGUUUGGCUACAUUGCGAGGAUAUAUGUUAUACUCCAGGCCAAACUGCUUUGUAGCCGCUCGUUUGUCUUUUGUGAACGGAAUUUCAAACAGAGGUAAGUAUAAAGUUACGUCGGUGUCACCCAAAUAAUGUGUAAGAACUAUAGUCUUUGGUGUUUUCUUGCCCUAAAUUUCUUACAGCCAUCAUCAGCCACCGUUGCAGCGAAACGAUUUGAAACUGCAAUGUAGUUUUUCUGUGUGUAGG
rnacentral:misc_RNA from 1 species